AACUUCUUUUUAUAAAGAACCAUUAACCAAGUCAGCAUAUAUGGACACCAGUUCCUGGUCCUCAGCCUCCUCUUCCUGGUAUUCUAGAACCUCAUGACUGAGUUCCAUAGAGAAUUAGAAUGCCUGCCUGCUAAGGACACCCAGACAAUGUCUGCAUCAAGCUCCCUGUGUCUCUCAAGCAAUAGCCAGUGGAGGGUAGCUACAAUAGUUGUUGGCCAAGAGAAAUGUUCCCACCAAGAGCUUCUUUAUUGCUGUCCUGCUUGCUACUGUUUGGAUUUAUUCUCAGGAUGAGUCGAUAAGGCCUUUCUCAAAGACCAUCUGGAUGCUCUUCAGCACACAGGAAGGGAAGGUAGAUUGUGCCAAGAAUUAAGCUAUACCCUGAGCUACACCCCGUGGUUUUGCCUUUUGACUUGAAUUGCAUCAUUGGCUUUCCAAAUGUGACCUCUGGGCCUGACGCAUCACCAUCACUGGGGAGCUUGUUUGGAAAAUAUGAAUUUUAGGACCCACCUCAGAUCUACUGAGUAAGAAGCAAGAUGGCCGGAGUGAUUUCUGAUUUAAGGUCUCUAUUGCUCUACAGUGUCCAGUUCAGCAAGAAGCGAGACUCUCCCCAACCCCCACAACUGCACUUACCUUGGAUUCCAGGAAAAUCAGAACUGACAUAAGCACCUUUAAGACAGGAGACUGAAAUGACCAAGAAGCAACUAACUAUAAGCCUCAAAGGACAGACCACUCCCCAAAUGAGGGCAAUUAUCUCUGAUGGCAGGGCUGCUCCCAGAGGGAAGACAUUAUCACCAGGGAGGCAAUUCCCUCCUCUAGUGAGGGCUGUAAAUCACUUCUUCCAAACGUGCAGAAACAGGACUGCUAAGAUCCACCGGUUACACCUUGACCAAGACUGCCUGAUUGCACACACUUCAUGCCCUUUGCCCCAUUUUUCUAUUUAAAUCUGAAGCUCAUUCAGGUGUUUGAAAGAUUGGUGAGACCUCAUUCAGGGUCUCACAGGAACACUUGAUCUGUCCCUUCUCCUUAUAUUUUUGGUUGUGAGCCUAGCCUUUAACGGCUGAGCCAUCUCUCCAGCCCCUGUCCCUUCUCCUAAGGGAAGCCAAUUACGUACCUCAGGACAGCUCUGUGUAUGGCCCGAUGCAAAACUGUACACUUAUUUAUCAUGAGGGUUCUUUUGCAUGUUUUGCUUGUGCUUUUACAGUGCGGUGCUUAAGCAUGAACUUCAUAGAACUUUAUGCUGGAGUGCAGUAGGUGGUAUGCUCUGUGUGGUGACCACUUUCACGCCUCGGUGGCAAACAUAUCUUAAUUCCAGCAACAAGGAGGUAGGGGCAAGAAGAUCUCUGAGCUCCAGGCCAGCUGAGGUAACAUAGUGAGACCCUGUCUUAAAGAGACAGACCCAAACCCAAACCUUCCUGCUGUGAUGUCAGCAUACCAGCAGCUUUGACUAGAUCUCACUUCUGUACUUCUUCAUCUCUUUAGUUGGCUUAUUAGAGAGAAAAAACUGCCACAAAACCCCAAAAAUCACCUCAUUCAACAUCUGUUAUAGGCCACAAGAGACUAUUUAAAAACCAAAUUGUAAUCCCGUAACUCUCAAACUGCAUCUCCACAUCUCAAACUAAACAGGGUCUAUUCAGUCCAGGUUGGUCUUAAAUUCAUAUCAGUCCUUCAACCUUCCAAUUGGGGGGCUCACAGGCACAAGCCUCUAUGGCUACUUCAAACUUUUUCAAGUUUAUGAGAAAUAAUGCCAAAUUUCUCAAGCAGACCACUCCCUCCCCCUUCCCCACCAGCUUCUCUCUCUCAUUCACAUUUUCAUGAUUGCUGGGGGAGAUAGUAAAGAAACUACAACAUGACUGCUCCGUCAGGGGAAGGGUUUUAUUUUGAAUAAGAGAAAACACCAGAGGUCCCUGGAGGAGUCCAGAGCAGAGAGCAAAAGCAGACUGGACAUGGCCAGGGCCAUCUGGAGAGAAGAGAGGGAGGAGAUUGGGAGGAGGGGGUGGAAAAUCACUGUUAUAAGGAGGAUGAAUAGGUGGGGAUGGGAAGCUGCCGUGAGUUGGAGCAGGCCUGGAAGUUUUAUGGUAGAAGGGGAGGUGAUGAGGGCCAGGAUGCUAGUGUGGGAUCUUUGAAGUGAGUAUCAAGUGCUUGUGAGUAGGGACUAGAGGAGCCUGGAAGCUACUGGGGAUAUGCUGGAAGUGCCACAGCUGUAAGUUGAGAGCCAUGUGUCCCUUCUGCCAGAGGUAAGAGGAGUGACUCCUUUUGGGGGGGGGGUAGGAGCCUGUUUCACACGUUUCCUGGGAAUGCUGGUUUUUAUCUAACCACCAGAAAUCCUUCUAUACUCCAGCUUGAACUCCUUUCUGGAUAUAUGGACUGCCUGAGACCUAACAUGUGUGUGUACAUAUGUGUAUGUAUGUGUCCAUGUGCAAACACAUCUUGAUGCUAGUGUGGUCAAAAGACAACAAUUUGUGGCAAUUCAUUUUCUCCUUCCACAAUUGGGUUUUGUCUUAGUCAUUGUCUUAUUGCUGUGAACACAUACCAUGACCAUGACAACGCUUGUAAAAGAAAGCAUUUAAUUGGGGGCUUGCUUAUAGUUUCCAAUGGUCAGUCUAUUAUUAUCAUGGCAGGGAACAUGGUGACAUGCAUGGUCCUGGAACAGUAGCUAAGCACUACAUCUGGUUCUUUUUUUUUUUUU
rnacentral:sRNA from 1 species